ensembl:lncRNA
CAUGUGUCGAGUGUAUGUGCACUUCCUUAAUGUUAAGAGACUGGAAGAACAUGACAACUGUUGGUUUAAGAACAAAGAAAAUACUGCAUCAGAAGCUACUCUACCACAUUAACCUCUGCUUCAGUCCUGUACUCAGCCACAAGGACUCACGGAACAGAGUUUGGAAGUUGCUGCAUCAAGCUGAAAUACUGCAAAAUACCAUAGAAUUUACUAUGAUUUGCAUAUAGUUUUUAAGAUGUAAAUGUCAUAUGCUAAUUUACAGCAUAAUUAGACUUGUACCAGUUGUAAUUGGAUAGCAACUAUGGAAUAAAAAAAGAAAGGAAGAAUGACGAAGCAAAUUUCACCCAAAUUAAUAUUGAUUUGUGGAAGGUAAUGUCUAUUCCCUUGAUUAGGACCCUUGAAUAAGAAGUGGGAAGAGGUUAUAUAAAUUAACAGAGAGGGACUGAUACAGCUUUCACAGGUCCCAAGGUGC